AGCAGCCGCGGUAAUUCCAGCUCCAAUAGCGUAUAUUAAAGUUGCUGCAGUUAAAAAGCUCGUAGUUGAAUUUCGGGACUAAUAUGUCGGUCGUGCCUCGGUACGUACUGGCUUAUUGGUUUCUCCUUUCUGAAGAACCAUGAUGUCAUUUAUUUGGUGUCGUGGGGAAUCAGGACUGUUACUUUGAAAAAAUUAGAGUGUUUAAAGCAGGCUCACGCUUGAAUACAUUAGCAUGGAAUAAUGAAAUAGGACGUUUGAUUCUAUUUUGUUGGUUUCUAGGAUCGACGUAAUGAUUAAUAGGGAUAGUUGGGGGCAUUAGUAUUCAAUUGUCAGAGGUGAAAUUCUUGGAUUUAUUGAAGACUAACUACUGCGAAAGCAUUUGCCAAGGAUGUUUUCAUUAAUCAAGAACGAAAGUUAGGGGAUCGAAGACGAUCAGAUACCGUCGUAGUCUUAACCAUAAACUAUGCCGACUAGGGAUCGGAUGAUGUUAAUUUUUAAUGUACUCAUUCG
rnacentral:rRNA from 1 species